GCAGGUUGUGAUGGUACGUGUCUAUAAUCCAGAUACUCCUGCAGGCUAAAGCUUGAGCUCAGGAGUUUGGGGCUUUUGUAGGCUAUACUGAUCAGGUGUCCAUAUUAAGCACUAAUAUGGCAAGGCCUGGGGAGCUGAGAUGCACCAGGUUGCCCAAUGAGGGGUGAACUGGCCCAGGUCAUAGAUGGAGCAGGUCAAAACUCCCUUUCAUUGGUGGGACUGCACCAUCUGAAUAGCCACUGCAGACUUACCUGGGCAAGACAGCAAAACCUAGACACUU